UGGGGAAUAUUGGACAAUGGGCGCAAGCCUGAUCCAGCCAUGCCGCGUGAGUGACGAAGGCCUUAGGGUUGUAAAGCUCUUUUGGCGGGGAAGAUAAUGACGGUACCCGCAGAAUAAGCUCCGGCUAACUUCGUGCCAGCAGCCGCGGUAAUACGAAGGGAGCUAGCGUUGUUCGGAAUCACUGGGCGUAAAGCGCACGUAGGUGGGCAGUUAAGUCAGGGGUGAAAGCCCGAGGCUCAACCUCGGAAUUGCCUCUGAUACUGGCUGUCUAGAGUUCGAGAGAGGUGAGUGGAAUUCCUAGUGUAGAGGUGAAAUUCGUAGAUAUUAGGAAGAACACCGGUGGCGAAGGCGGCUCACUGGCUCGAUACUGACACUGAGGUGCGAAAGCGUGGGGAGCAAACAGGAUUAGAUACCCUCGUAGUCCCUGAGCGGGCUGGCAAGGCGCAU
rnacentral:rRNA from 1 species